rnacentral:tRNA from 1 species
AUAUUUUAAGGCUUCUGCCUUCUUAAUAUCUUCAAUAUUAUACUUUAAAAUAAGCUAUUAAAAUA